rnacentral:rRNA from 1 species
UACGGAGGGGGCUAGCGUUGUUCGGAAUUACUGGGCGUAAAGAGCUCGUAGGCGGCUCGUCACGUCGGGUGUGAAAGCCCGGGGCUUAACCCCGGGUCUGCAUUCGAUACGGGCAGGCUAGAGUGUGGUAGGGGAGAUCGGAAUUCCUGGUGUAGCGGUGAAAUGCGCAGAUAUCAGGAGGAACACCGGUGGCGAAGGCGGAUCUCUGGGCCAUUACUGACGCUGAGGAGCGAAAGCGUGGGGAGCGAACAGG